CCUACGGGCGGCAGCAGUGGGGAAUAAUGGGCAAUGGGCGCAAGCCUGACCCAGCAACGCCGCGUGAAGGAAGAAGGCUCUCGGGUUGUAAACCUCUUUUGUCAGGGAAGAGGAGAAGACGGUACCUGACGAAUAAGCCACGGCUCACUACGUGCCAGCAGCCGCGGUAAUACGUAGGUGGCAAGCGUUGUCCGGAUGUACUGGGUGUAAAGGGCGUGUAGCCGGGUUGACAAGUCAGAUGUGAAAUCCUGCGGCGUAACCGCAGAACUGCAUUUGAAACUGUUGAUCUUGAGUACUGGAGAGGCAGCCGGAAUUCCUAGUGUAGCGGUGAACUGCGUAGAUAUUGGGAGGAACACCAGUGGCGAAGGCGGUCUGCUGGACAGCAACUGACGGUGAGGCGCGAACGCGUGGGGAGCGAACAGGAUUAGAUACCCGUGUAGUC
rnacentral:rRNA from 1 species